CGCUGGGGAUUGAGCCCAUAACCCAGGCAUGUGCCCUGAACCAGAAUUGAACUGUGAUUCCUGGUUCAUAGGUUGAUGCUCAACCACUGAGCCCUGCUGACCAAGCGGCUGUGCUCUUUUUAGAAGAUGAUCUAUGAUACUUGAUCUUUUUCACUUCAGCUAAGCAGACUUUUUUUUUUAUGAGUACCUAUAAAUAUUCUAGAUACUAUAAGGGCGGGGGGGGGGGGGGCAGAAAGAAUGGGGAAAUAACAGUAUAGCCAGCUACAGAAGAGAUUGAAUGUUACUGCCUCAAGGAAGAGAAGGCCUAUUUCUGUACUUUCCUCAUCAAUUGGGGGUGAUAACUAAUUGAUAUGACUUCCUUUUACAACGUAAGGCAGCUCUAGGACUGUGUGUGCAAAGAGGAAUCUUCAGAAAUAUAUAAGAUAUUAUUUCUUUGGUGUUAUAAUCUUUUACAUUCGACUUAACAUAUGGGAAGGUUCAGAUAUUCUGGUUUCUCCAAGGGCAAAAGUUAGAGAUAUGGUUGUUGUGGGGUGAGGUAUAUGAUUGAUGUGGAAUGCUACCCUCUUAUUUUUCUGUUUUCAUUAUCUGUACAAAUGUCAGCACAUUGAAAAUGGCAAGUAAUAUCUUCGUAUUGUUAGGGAAAUAAUUAUCACCUCACAGAGCCCCUGAAAUAGUCCCAGGGACCGCAGUUUGGGAGCCACUACCCUAGAGACUCAGUGUUUUUCCCCAAAAUUCACCAGUGUAUCUUGUUCUGAAAAGUAGGGGUGAAGGUAACUGAUCUUGAAAGGCUAGUUCUGUUAAUGUAUCUAUACUGACUGGAGGAAAUUAGAAUGCCCCAGUCGUGUUGGGACAGAUACAACAUGUCAAGUAUACUAUAUUUUUUCCAUUUUCUAACAUCUGAGCUAGGUGUCUCUGCCAUUUGAAUCAUUUAGGCUCCAUGCUCAAAUAUAUUUUUAAGGAAAAUAACCUUAAGGAAUUUAUGAAACUUAAUUAUAUAUGGCUAAUCUCUCUCUCUCCUGCCUUUCACUUACCGCUUUUAAAAAGGAAUGAAUGGGGAUAAAUUGGCUUGUCUAACGUAAUUUUUUACUUCACAUACAUUUCUCUAAUAGAAGAUCUUAUCACUAAUAAUCUCAUGCUUGCAUUUAAUAUUCUAAUCCAUGUAUUAGUAUUUCCACCAGGAUGCUUUCAUUUUAAGCAUCACUUAUCUCUUGACUAUUAUCCUGCAGGAAAGGACUAGAGGAACUCAUCACCCUUCAUGCCAGUAUAAUGGAAUUAAUAAAGUAUCUUCAUGUGACAAUUGGUCUUAAGCCAUAGAUACUAAUCUUAAUACCUACAUAGUACUUUCUAAAAAAUAAGGAUAAACGAUUAACCACAUUAGCAGAUCACUAUUAUGAGUUUUCAGGGAUGUACUUAGACACUGAUUUUUUUUUUUCCUAUUAGCUUUUCCAUAUAUAAUUAUUUUCCCUUUUUCUCCACUCCCAAGUAAGAAUUUUAAUUUAUUUAAAA